rnacentral:rRNA from 1 species
CGAAUGGCGUAACGACUUCCCCACUGUCUCCAGCAUAGACUCAGUGAAAUUGAACUCUCCGUGAAGAUGCGGAGUUCCUGCGGUCAGACGGAAAGACCCCGUGAACCUUUACUACAGCUUUGCACUGGACUUUGAUUUUAUCUGUGUAGGAUAGGUGGGAGACUUUGAAGCAUGAUCGCUAGAUCUUGUGGAGUCGUCCUUGAAAUACCACCCUGAUAACGUUGAGGUUCUAACUUGGGUCCCUUAUCGGGAUUAAGGACAGUGUAUGGUGGGUAGUUUGACUGGGGCGGUCUCCUCC